rnacentral:rRNA from 1 species
UACGUAGGGUGCUAGCGUUGUCCGGAUUUAUUGGGCGUAAAGGGCUCGUAGGCGGCGUGUCGCGUCGGGGAGUGAAAGCCCCGCUGCUUAACGGCGGGUUGGCUUCCGGUACGGGCAUCGCUGGAGUGCGGCAGGGGAGACUGGAAUUCCUGGUGUAGCGGUGGAAUGCGCAGAUAUCAGGAGGAACACCGGUGGCGAAGGCGGGUCUCUGGGGCCGUUACUGACGCUGAGGAGCGAAA